rnacentral:rRNA from 1 species
CCUACGGGAGGCUGCAGUGAGGAAUAUUGGUCAAUGGGCGAGAGCCUGAACCAGCCAAGUCGCGUGAGGGAGUACUGCCCUAUGGGUUGUAAACCUCUUUUGUCGGGGAGCAAAAGCCGUACGUGUCCGGCUGUGAGAGUACCCGAAGAAAAAGCAUCGGCUAACUCCGUGCCAGCAGCCGCGGUAAUACGGAGGAUGCGAGCGUUAUCCGGAUUUAUUGGGUUUAAAGGGUGCGCAGGCGGAUUUUUAAGUCAGCGGUCAAAGCGUGGGGCUCAACCCCAUCCAGCCGUUGAAACUGGGUAUAUCGAGUGUGCGAGAGGUAUGAGGAAUGCGUGGUGUAGCGGUGAAAUGCAUAGAUAUCACGCAGAACACCGAUUGCGAAGGCAACAUUCCGGUGCACAACUGACGCUCAGGCACGAAAGCGUGGGUAUCGAACAGGAUUAGAUACCCCUGUAGUC